rnacentral:rRNA from 1 species
UCCUACGGGGAAAGAGCAGUGGGGAAUUUUCCGCAAUGGGCGAAAGCCUGACGGAGCAAGACCGCGUGGGGGAAGAAGGCUCUUGGGUUGUAAACCCCUUUUCUCUGGGAAGAAAGUUGUGAAAGCAACCUGACGGUACCAGAGGAAUCAGCAUCGGCUAACUCCGUGCCAGCAGCCGCGGUAAGACGGAGGAUGCAAGCGUUAUCCGGAAUGAUUGGGCGUAAAGCGUCCGCAGGUGGCAGUUCAAGUCUGCUGUCAAAGACCGGGGCUUAACUUCGGAAAGGCAGUGGAAACUGAACAGCUAGAGUAUGGUAGGGGCAGAGGGAAUUCCUGGUGUAGCGGUGAAAUGCGUAGAGAUCAGGAAGAACAUCGGUGGCGAAGGCGCUCUGCUGGACCAUAACUGACACUCAGGGACGAAAGCUAGGGGAGCGAAUGGGAUUAGAUACCCCAGUAGUCCUAGCCGUAAACGAUGGAUACUAGGUGUUGUCUGUAUCGACCCGGACAGUGCCGUAGCUAACGCGUUAAGUAUCCACGAUCUGAGACGAUUCUUUUCGUU